AAUCUUCUUAGGACAAUGUCAAG
rnacentral:piRNA from 1 species